rnacentral:rRNA from 1 species
AUUGAACGCUGGCGGCAUGCUUUACACAUGCAAGUCGAACGGUAACAGGCCGCAAGGUGCUGACGAGUGGCGAACGGGUGAGUAAUGCAUCGGAACGUGCCCAGUCGUGGGGGAUAACUACUCGAAAGAGUAGCUAAUACCGCAUACGAUCUAUGGAUGAAAGCGGGGGACCGUAAGGCCUCGCGCGAUUGGAGCGGCCGAUGUCAGAUUAGGUAGUUGGUGGGGUAAAGGCUCACCAAGCCAACGAUCUGUAGCUGGUCUGAGAGGACGACCAGCCACACUGGGACUGAGCCACGGCCCAGACUCCUACGGGAGGCAGCAGUGGGGAAUUUUGGACAAUGGGCGCAAGCCUGAUCCAUCAAUGCCGCGUGCAGGACGAAGGCCUUCGGGUUGUAAUCUGCUUUUGUACGGAACGAAACGGCUCUGGUUAAUACCCGGGGCUAAUGACGGUACCGUAAGAAUAAGCCCCGGCUAACUACGUG